UCUUGGAAUAGUCUGAGUGGUUAAGAAUGUUUUUCAAGCCAACCAGGCUGUUCAUUAUUUAAAAUGUUUUGAUCUUGGCUUCUAGAGCGAUCGAGCUGCGGGUGUCUGUAAUUGGAUUGAUUGGGGCAGGACCUGCCUGGACAUUCUGGGUCCUUCAAUAGGGGUCCAGAAGGGCCCGUGGGUCGGAUAGUCCGGCGGGUUGUUCUUGUGCACAGCCACUUAAAGAAUGGUGAAAUAAAUGUUCAUUUAAACUCCAAAAAAAAAAAAAGAAUGUUUUUGUAUGCAUGAGGCCUG
rnacentral:lncRNA from 1 species